rnacentral:rRNA from 1 species
UAAUACAGAGGUCCCAAGCGUUGUUCGGAUUUACUGGGCGUAAAGGGUGCGUAGGCGGUUAGAAAAGUUUGGUGUGAAAUCUUCGGGCUCAACCCGGAAACUGCACUGAAAACUAUUUAACUAGAGGAUCGGAGAGGAGAUUGGAAUUCUCAGUGUAGCAGUGAAAUGCGUAGAUAUUGAGAGGAACACCAGUUGCGAAGGCGGACCUCUGGACGAUUCCUGACGCUGAGGCACGAAAGCUGGGGGAGCGAAGAGGAUUAGAUACCCUCGUAGUCCCAGCCGUAAACGGUGCGCACUUGCUGUGGGCGGAUUCGACCCCGUCCGUGGCGAAGCUAACGCGUUAAGUGCGCCGCCUGGGGAGUACGGUCGCAAGAUUA